rnacentral:pre_miRNA from 14 species
GCUCGCCAUAUCCCAUUGCCCUACUAUUCGCAUCUCAUCACUUCCUCCAGUAAUAUAAGGAUGAGAUCGUUUCAGUACGGCAAUGGAAAGAGCUAUAUA